AUAAAAUGUAGAAGAGAUGGCUUAAAAUUUUAAGAGAGGCUGAGGUUUAUCAGAUCAACCUCUUUUAUACAGCUGAGUGUAAAAGCUGACAUAACUGGAAAAAAAGUUUAAGAUAGAAGUCAAGAUAACUUUCAGUAAGAAGUCUUUGGGUACCUCAGGAAAUAAGUAUUAGGCAACAGCUGAUCAUUUUUUCAGAGCGAUCUGUGUGCUGUCAACAUAUGAUGUCAUCCUUCCGUAGCACUUCACUUUUCCACUACUUGUAGCUAUGGAGGUGGGUCAGUGUGCAUCCUGCAUGGCAUACAGCUCUCUCAAUUUCUUCAUUUUUUGCAGGGCUUGCUUAACUCAUCUCUUAGGCUGUGUAGUUAGUGAGGACACAGGUAUAUAUACCCUCAUUUGAAAUCUGUCCACACAAAGCUAACACUGGUGGUGGUAGCCUGUCUCGGUUUCCCGGCAACAGCUCUGCUUAUGAGGCUUAACAAUGCAGAAGAGAUAGAAAAUGAGAUUCUGGGAGACUGGGAGUGUGGAGCCUUGUGAGACAAGUCUGACACAGGAGUUUGUGGAAAAGAUUUGUGUUGUGCAUGAGAGCUGUGGAAGAAAGACAUCAUUAUGGAGGAAUCCUAAUUGUAAACUGAACCACCUCCACCCCCAAAUUAGCAGUAUAAGAUCUGCAUGUCUUUUUCAUGGAGAAGAUGGUGGAGAUCAUUUCAAUGACACACAUACAGAUUUGUUGGACACAACCUGGAGGAAAGGGAAAAACAUGGUUCAAACUAAGGGAGCAGCUCAGCUAACCAAUGCCACCAUGGGCACUUGGAUGUCCUUUCUUGAACCUUGCUCCUUUAGCAAAAACCAAACCUGAAAGAGCAAAUGAAACAAAACAAAAUAAAACAGAAAACCAAUGCA
rnacentral:lncRNA from 1 species